rnacentral:rRNA from 1 species
GGACAGUAUGGGAGUGAGAAUGUUGGCAUGAGUAGCGAGAUGUGGGUGAGAAUCCCACAGGCCGUAAACCCAAGGUUUCCAGGGGAAGGUUCGUCCGCCCUGGGUUAGUCGGGACCUAAGCUGAGGCCGAAAGGCGUAGGGGAUGGACAACAGGUUGAUAUUCCUGUACUACCGAUAACCGUUUGAGAGAUGGGAUGACACAGUAGGAUAAGCUAAGCACACUGUUGGUUAUGUGUGCCCAAGCAUUGAGGCAGUCAAAGUAGGCAAAUCCGCUUUGAUAAUGCUGGGAUGGGAUGGGGAGCGAAAUUUAGUAGCGAAGUAGCUGAUUUCACACUGUCAAGAAAAGUCUCUAUCGAGG